rnacentral:rRNA from 1 species
GACGAACGCUGGCGGCGUGCUUAACACAUGCAAGUCGAACGAAGUGGCGGACGGGUGAGUAACGCGUGAGGAACCUGCCUUUCAGAGGGGGACAACAGUUGGAAACGACUGCUAAUACCGCAUGCUGAAAGAUGGCCUCGCGUCUGAUUAGCUGGUUGGUGAGGUAACGGCCCACCAAGGCGACGAUCAGUAGCCGGACCGAGAGGUUGACCGGCCACAUUGGGACUGAGAUACGGCCCAGACUCCUACGGGAGGCAGCAGUGGGGAAUAUUGGGCAAUGGGCGCAAGCCUGACCCAGCAACGCCGCGUGAAGGAAGAAGGCUUUCGGGUUGUAAACUUCUUUUAAGAGGGAAGCUGUACCUCUAGAAUAAGCCACGGCUAACUACGUGCCAGCAGCCGCGGUAAUACGUAGGUGGCAGGCGUUGUCCGGAUUUACUGGGUGUAAAGGGCGUGCAGCCGGGAAUGCAAGUCAGAUGUGAAAUCCAUGGGCUUAACCCAUGAACUGCAUUUGAAACUGUAUUUCUUGAGUACUGGAGAGGCAAUCGGAAUUCCUAGUGUAGCGGUGAAAUGCGUAGAUAUUAGGAGGAACACCAGUGGCGAAGGCGGAUUGCUGGACAGCAACUGACGGUGAGGCGCGAAAGUGUGGGGAGCAAACAGGAUUAGAUACCCUGGUAGUCCACACUGUAAACGAUGAAUACUAGGUGUGCGGGCGUGCCGCAGUUAACACAAUAAGUAUUCCACCUGGGGAGUACGAUCGCAAGGUUGCAACUCAAAUGA